rnacentral:rRNA from 1 species
GACAGAGGGGGCAAGCGUUGCUCGGAAUUACUGGGCGUAAAGGGCGCGUAGGCGGGAUGGCAAGUCGGUCGUGAAAUCCCUCGGCUCAACCGAGGAACGUCGAUCGAUACUGCUGUUCUUUGAGGAUUGCAGAGGAGACUGGAAUUCCCGGUGUAGCGGUGAAAUGUGUAGAGAUCGGGAGGAACACCGGUGGCGAAGGCGGGUCUCUGGGCAAUUCCUGACGCUGAGGCGCGAAAGCGUGGGGAGCAAACGGG